UUGAAGUUAUCUACUACUUCUGGCUCUUACAGGAUUUUCAUGCUCUUCCAUGAAGAUUCCUGCACUGUAAAGGAAGAGAUCUCACUGUGGGCAGACAUAAACUAGAGUGCAUGGAAACCUUUAAAGUGAAAUGACUGACAGCUGAUGUCACACACAUCCUCGUAGGUUCAGAGCAGCACAGCUGUGAAGCUUACAGAAGCAAUCCUUAAAAAUUCAGGAUUAGAGGUUCCAAAUUACCUUCUCUGGAUUGACUGAAAUUUUUGUCGACAAGAGCCAUAAUGUCAACAACUCCAUCCCUAACUACACCAGAUAGUCUAAAAGAAAAGCAGGCCCCAAGGAGUUUGAUGGUAACCACGACUUCACUGAUGGGACCCGGACUCCUUGGCCAAGCUGCUCCACGAGGGUGAGCAAAUAAACACGUUUA